rnacentral:tRNA from 1 species
AGGGGAGUAGCUCAGUUGGUAGAGUCGCGGUCUCCAAAACCGUUGGUCGCGUGUUCGAGUCGCGUCUCCCCUGCCA